rnacentral:rRNA from 1 species
AGGACGAACGCUGGCGGCGUGCUUAACACAUGCAAGUCGAGCGGAAAGGCCCUUCGGGGUACUCGAGCGGCGAACGGGUGAGUAACGCGUGAGUAAUCUGCCCCUAGCUCUGGGAUAGCUCCGGGAAAACCGGGAUUAAUACCAGAUAUUACCACUUUAGACAUCUCUUGUGGUGGAAAGAAUUUCGGCUAGGGAUGAACUCGCGGCCUAUCAGCUUGUUGGUGAGGUAACGGCUCACCAAGGCGACGACGGGUA